UAGUGUUUUUGUACCUCCGUUGCGAAAAAAAAAAAAAAGCUUGCUUGCGAGGAUGACAGUGGUGGCUGUUGUGCUGGAAAAAUAUAAAUUUUAGGUUGCGUUCUCUGACUGUAGUCUUUGAGAAGGAGAAAAGAGAGUAAAAAAGCUUGAGAAAGGAGAUGAGGGAUGCUGGGUAAUGGUACUGUGAGAGGAAGGAUGCUGGGAAAGAUAAUGGUGUUCUGAGAGUGAAUUCCGAUGCAUAAAAAUCACACUCUCUCUCUCUCUGGAAUUCAAUAUGAUCACACUCUCUCUCUGAAAUUCAAUAUGAUCACACUCUCUCCUCUGAAAUUCAAUAUGAUCACACUCUCUCCCUCUGAAAUUCAAUCUGCUGCACUGGAAUCUUUGAC
rnacentral:lncRNA from 1 species